rnacentral:rRNA from 1 species
ACGGGCCGCAAGGNUUAAAUNAAANGAAUUNACGGGGGNCCGCNCAANCGGGUGGAGCNUNUGGUUUUAANUUGAAGCAACGNGAAGAACCUUACCAGGUNUUGANAUCCCGNUGACCGCCCNGGAGANUGGGCUUUCCCUUNGGGGACAGCGGUGACAGGUGGUGCAUGGUUGUUGUCAGCUCGUGUNGUGAGAUGUUGGGUUAAGUNCCGCAACGAGNGCAACCCUUGAUUUUAGUUGCCAGCAUUCAGUUGGGCACUUUAAGGUGACUGCCGGUUACAAACCGGAGGAAGGUGGGGAUGACGUCAAAUCAUCAUGCCCCUUAUGACCUGGGNUACACACGUGNUACAAUGGACGGUACAAAGGGCUGCCAACCCGCGAGGGGGAGCCAAUCCCAGAAAACCGUUNUCAGUUNGGAUUGCAGGCUGCAACUCGCCUGCAUGAAGCCGGAAUCGCUAGUAAUCGUGGAUCAGCAUGCCACGGUGAAUACGUUCCCGGGCCUUGUACACACCGCCCGUCACACCACGAGAGUUUGUAACACCCGAAGUCGGGAGGUAACCGUUCGCGGAGCCAGCCGCCGAAGGUGGACAGANAUGGNAG